CGGAGUGGACGCAUCACUGGUGUUCGGGUUGUCAUGCCAAUGGCACUGCCCGGUAGCUAAAUGCGGAAGAGAUAAGUGCUGAAAGCAUCUAAGCACGAAACUUGCCCCGAGAUGAGUUCUCCCUGAGACUUAGAGUCUCCUGAAGGAACGUUGAAGACGACGACGUUGAUAGGCCGGGUGUGUAAGCGCAGCGAUGCGUUGAGCUAACCGGUACUAAUGAACCGUGAGGCUUAACCUUAC
rnacentral:rRNA from 1 species